CAAAGAUCUUUACAUUUCUGCAACACAUUUGAAACAAACGAAGCAGCCAUCCUGCAGGGAAAUGGCAUUGACGGUUGCCAUGGGAACUGUGUGAAGUCACGGAAAGUAGAUUAUCUCAUAAUGCAUUACCCAGUGUCAGAAACAGGCAGCCUGACUAGAGAACAAACUACCAAUUAACGAGCGAGGAAACAGGGCCAGAGAAUUGGAACAAAAUACAAGGCUGCCUCCGAAAGGUUUCUAGAACAGGCACGGCAAAUGAAUUACUUGGAAAAUAUCACACAGUUAAUAUCGACCAUAGAAGCCAUGUUGCACGUCAAUAACAGUGCAGAUGCUUCUGAAAAGCCAGUAAUUUGCAAGCAGAUGGAACUUCAAUAUGGCAAUAGAGAAAGAAUCAAUUAGACCAGAGUCUCCUCAGGAAGACUUUCUAUAGGUAAGACAGAAAAAAGAAUUGUAGUUUCCAUUAAUUGGCAAUGGUAGGAAGAGUAUUACAGAAUAGGGAAAAAUAGGAGGAUAAUCGUAAUGACCAUUUGCUGAGGUUAUGUGCCAGCCACUGUGCUUAGUGCUUGGCCAAUGUUGUUCUCAUUGAAUUCUCAUAAAGACCUUACGAGAUAAAUGCUAUAUUUGACCCUGUUUUACAGAAGAAGAAAAUGAGACUUUGAGCAGUCCACUGACUGGUCAGGUGACUACUAAAUGUUCAAUCCAGAAUUCAUACUCAAAGAUAUCAG
rnacentral:lncRNA from 1 species